rnacentral:rRNA from 1 species
ACCCCGCACAAGCGGUGGAUCAUGUUGUUUAAUUCGAUGAUACGCGAGAACCUUACCUGGUCUUGACAUCCCGGAGACCCUUAGGAAACUAGGGGGUGCUUCCAUCUGGAAGAAUCUGGAGACAGGUGCUGCAUGGCUGUCGUCAGCUCGUGUCGUGAGAUGUUGGGUUAAGUCCCGCAACGAGCGCAACCCUUGCCUUUAGUUGCCAGCAGUUCGGCUGGGCACUCUAAAGGGACUGCCGGUGUUAAACCGGAGGAAGGUGGGGAUGACGUCAAGUCCUCAUGGCCUUUAUGACCAGGGCUACACACGUACUACAAUGGCCGAUACAAAGGGCAGCGACACUGCGAGGUGAAGCCAAUCCCGUAAAAUCGGUCUCAGUCCGGAUUGGAGUCUGCAACUCGACUCCAUGAAGUUGGAAUCGCUAGUAAUCGUGGAUCAGCAUGCCACGGUGAAUACGUUCCCGGGCCUU